UACAUGGGGUGCAAACGUUGCUCGGAAUCAUUGGGCGUAAAGCGCGCGUAGGCGGUUACUUAAGUCGAAUGUGAAAGCCCUCGGCUUAACCGAGGAAGUGCAUCCGAAACUGAGUAGCUAGAGUACGAAAGAGGGUCGCGGAAUUCCCGGUGUAGAGGUGAAAUGCGCAGAUAUCAGGAGGAACACCGGUGGCGAAGGCGGGUCUCUGGGCCGAUACUGACGCUGAGGAGCGAAAGCGUGGGGAGCGAACAGG
rnacentral:rRNA from 1 species